UGCCACACCAUCUCAAUAUAGCUCCACACUUAACAGCCGUUAGCCCCGUUGCGUUAACCCUCCAUGCAAAUUCAAAUUUUAAUUUGAAAAUUGGGUGGGUUGGUGAAGGUAAAACUAAAAACUGAAGAAGCUUUUCAUUUUCCUCAAUCUUUUAUCUCUUUCUGUUCAUCAUCACCACUAUUGCAACGUUGGCAACAUUUCUGCACUUGCAAGGGGUUGUGGGUUCAUGUUAGUGUGGUGCUGACAGACUCAUUCAGAGUAAAUCUAUUCUCCAUGCCUAUUAGUGGUUUAUGUUGUGUGCAAGUUGUAAUUAUGAGUGGAUAAUACGAAAAUUUUAGUUUGGAAGCAAAAGAGGCAUACGGGAAGCUCUGUAGUUAGGUGGAAGACUUUUAUAAAGGAGGAAUUUAAUUUCUA